rnacentral:rRNA from 1 species
CCUACGGGAGGCAGCAGUGAGGAAUAUUGGUCAAUGGGCGGAAGCCUGAACCAGCCAAGUCGCGUGAGGGAUGAAGGUCCUAUGGAUAGUAAACCUCUUUUAUAAGGGAAUAAAGUGUGGGACGUGUCCUAUUUUGUAUGUACCUUAUGAAUAAGGAUCGGCUAACUCCGUGCCAGCAGCCGCGGUAAUACGGCGGAUGCGAGCGUUAUCCGGAUUUAUUGGGUUUAACGGGUGCGUAGGCGGCCUUUUAAGUCAGCGGUGAAAGUUUGUGGCUCAACCAUUGUAUUGCCGUUGAAACUGGGGGGCUUGAGUAUGUUUGAGGCAGGCGGAAUGCGUGGUGUAGCGGUGAAAUGCUUAGAUAUCACGCAGAACCCCGAUUGCGAAGGCAGCCUGC